AUGCAAUGACCAAUCAGGACUCCCGAGCACCGGGAUCACGGAAAGCACGCUUCCCCACUUCCGGCAGAGAAAUGCUAGGCAGGAAACGCAGAAUGAGACCUGUGUAGUCCGACAUAAUCGAGAUACGGAUUUAUUUUGAUUCACUGGGGUAAAAGCACUCAUGGGAUCCACCCCCAUGCCAUGGCAACCUCAGCAACCAUCCCAGCCUGAAGCCCUGGACAAUUGCUUACAGUCAAUACCUCUCUCCUAAUGUUAUGCAGGGACAACUAUACGUCCAUUCUCAGCUCUGAAGAAGUUACAGAAUACUGAGACCAUCACCCAUUUUCCCUUACAUAUUAGGAGAGGGGGGAGAUGACACGGACACUGUACCCCCAGAAACUCAGGCGAACUAUUAUCAGGUAAACCCCCUUGCUCCCUUACAUCCUCGUGACUCUGAGCCUAAAAACAUCCAAUGACUCCUCUAGGGUCCUGAGAUGAUUAUCCUCCUUUGAUCGUCCUCUAGAUUUAAGAUGGACAGAAAGAGGCACCUCCAGGCUACACCUCAAUCCUAUCAGGCCACAUCUCAGACAUUUGUUUGUUCCCUAAAACUAAGGAAUCUUUAUGUCUCCAGGCAGAUGAUCACCCCACCUCGACAAAUGCCCGGGUGACUAACACUCUCUGUUGUAAAAAGUAUAAAAUCCCCAGAACUGAUGUCGUCGGGGGGAACAGCCUUUCCAUUCAUGCUGUCCUCCCAAAGAACUGCUCCCCAUCUUGCUGUUCCACCUUGCUAUCCUCCUGGCCAUUCUCAACAUUACUUCCUAUAUUAAUAAAUUUCUCUUUUUGUUUUUAA